AGUAAUCUAGUCUUGAUGUCAUGAAUGCAUGAAUUAAUUUCUCUGCAUCUGACAGUGACAGCAUAUGACGUAAUUUAGAUAUAUUCUUAAAAUGGAAAAAUGCAAUUUUACAGGUGUUGGCGACAUGGCUUUCAAAUGACAGAGUACUAUCGAAUUCAACACCAAGAUUCUUAGCUGAUGACGAGGAUUUUAUGGAGCAUCCGUCAAUCGUUAAGCAGUAUUCUUGGUUGUUACACAUUGCAGUUUUCGGUCCAGUAAGUAGCACUUCUGUUUUGUCCGAGUUUAGUAGUAAAAAAUUGUUACUCAUCCACAUUUUUAAGUCAGCUAUGCAAUCCUUUAUUCUAUGAAACUGCUGAGUUUGAUUAGGCUUCGCGGAAAUAUAAAGUUGAGUAUCAUCAGCAUAACAGUGAAAGCUAAUUCCGUGUCGCUUUAUUAUAUCUCCUAGAGGUAGCAUGUAUAAAGCGAAGAGCAGAGGCCCCAAGACUGAGCCCUGUUGUCAUGAUUCCGCUAUCAUGUCAUGUUUAUUCUUAUUCUUGCAGCGGAGUCAUGACUAAGUCUAGGGUUUUGUGUGGGAAGGACAUGGCAUGGCUUAGAUAUUGGCUGUCAUGCUCCUUCUCGUGUCUCGUCUAUGGCCCCGCCCCUCUCGUCUCCUCGUUAGCUUCCCUUGAGUGUUUCAUUACCCACACCUGCCUAUUGUUAAUUAUCCUUUGUUCGUCUCCCAAUUUAAUGCCCUUGUAUUCUCUGUCCUGUGCUCGUUUGUUUUUGUACAUACUGGAAUCUUUGAUGUCUGUUUGGCUGUCUGAACUCUUGUUCCAAGGAGUUAUCCAUACGCUGUGUCCCAGCGUUCAUUUCCAGUGCUCUGUUCCUGUUUUUGGAUCCUUUUGAUUUUUGUUUCAGUUUGUUACCCUACGUGAGUUUUUCGUUCCUGUUUGGCUGUCUUUGUUUAUCCCCUGUAUUUUACCCCAUUGUGGGUUUUUGUUUUGUGUUUAUUAAAAUCUUUUGUUACCCCAUACCGCUGCCUGCAUUUGGGUUCUCUCUCAUUACGUUUCGUGACACCUGUGGUACACCGUACUGGACUUGUGAUUUGCGGGACACCUCAUGGUUUAUUGCUACAAAUUGAAAACGGUCGGAUAAAUAAGACCAUUUCAAUGCUAUUCCGUUAAUGCCGACGCAAUUUUCGAGUCUAUGUAGAAGUAUGCUAUGGUCAAUGGUGUCAAAUGCAGCACUGUGGUCUAGCAGCACCAAUAACGAAAUACAGUCAUAUAAUCAUAUAAUAGUAAUAUAAUCAUCUGGCUUUAGCCAUGUUUCUGUCAAACAAAGCAUGUCUAUUUUAUGAUCGGUUAUCAAAUCGUUAACAAAAAGUGCAUUAUUUGAGAGAGAUCUAAUAUUAAGCAACCCGAGUCGUAACAGUUGAUUAUCUGUAUUUUGUUCAUGUUUGAUUUGUUUAACGUUUAUUAAAUUACUUUCAAGAGGUUUACGCAAUAUCUUAUGUUUGCUAAUCCGGGGCACAGACACGGUCUCUAUUUUAUGUUGUUUGUAAAAAGGGAUUAUUACAUGUUGUAUAUUUUGUGUAUUCUGUAACGCGAGACGGCAAGCAGACAGUUGGUUAAGCCAUUCUGUCUCCUUCCUGACCUGGGCCCUAGGUAGUCAGACUUUAGCAUUAUUAAGACUGUGUGCCAAAUUUCUAGAGAGGAGGCAAACCCCAUCCCAGGAGGGAUGGAGACCAACUCGUUUCAACAGGUCAGCCAUUUAGUGAUGAUAAUCUGCUAUAAAUCUCAUCACCACGGUAAACAGUAAGGGGGCCAGAGAAUAUUACAGUGUCUGACAUCGUUUUUGCGAGCUCACACACCUCUUUAAUAUUAUCUUUAGUGAUCUCCGAUUGACGGAGUCUAACAUCAUUGGUAUCCUGGUAGGUAACAGGUCUUCGGUCGGUCUUCUUAACCAGUAUCCCGAGACAGAAUCAUCAUCAUUUCACUGUCAUCACUCGUUUCUGCUUGUCUUUGAGUGUCUGUUAUUCUUUCAUGGUUUUGUCUGUUAUGUGUUUUCUUCUCAGGGAUAGGUCUGGUGUCAAGUGGAGUGACAUCGACAGGUAAGUCAUUCACCAGUAACAGGAGAUUGCGGUGCAGGGUCCUGCUUUUCUGUUUGUCUCCAGUUUCAGGGCAGACAACGUACACUGGGUUCUCAGCAAGUUGACGUUUGACUUUGUAUAUAGUCUUCUCCCAGUAUGCCCUUAAUUUUCCUGACCCUCCACGUUCACUGAAGUUCCGGACCAGAACUCUGUCCCCCGGUUGCAAUACAACCCCUCUCGCUUUCUUGUCGUAUGUCACAUUUCCCCUUGCACUGGACUUGCUAUUUUCGCCGGCAAUGAGUAGAAGUUUGAUUCAUGUCUGGUGCAAUUGUAUGCGUGUAUAACAUGCAGGAGGACAUCCUUCUACCGCAGUUUCUCACUGUCAGUCAAUGUUCUUAACAUCUGGAGGAUAGUGCGGUUCAAUCGCUCGGCUGGGUUGCCUUCUGGGUGGUAGGGUGAAGUCCACGAGUGGCCAACCCCCGACAGCCACUGUAAUUAUUGGAACUGUUUGUUCUCAAAUUCACGACUCUGGUAAUGAUGUAAUUUGGAUGGAUAUCCAACCAGGGUAUGAAAUCAUUGAAGAUGCACUCAGCCGCUGAUUUACCGCUCUUGUUCUUCGUGGGGUAAGCCUGGGCAAACCUAGCGAAAUGAUCAAUCACUACUAGAAUAUAUUCGUAUCCUCCACAACUUGUCUCCAAAUAGAAAGUAGUGAAUACACACAAGCUCUAAAAGGGAGAUAGAUGUGAUGCUGCCCAUAGGAGCUUGAGUGUGUGUCGUGAGUUUCUUAGAUCUCAUACAGGGACAUUUUCGGGUGACAGAGACUUCAAUUUCUUUUGCCAUAAAGGGAAACUGAAAUUUUUCCCAAGCAAGAUGGCGCACUCUUUCUGUUUAGGUUCUUCAGAGCGAUCGGCCUGUGUUUCAGAGGGAGUAGUAACUGCUCCAGCUAGUCCGUCUGUCUGUAAAGGAGGCCGUCUUGAAGUUGCAACUCACUCCACUCAUGCAGCAGCUUUCAGGCAUCUCCAUUUACAGUUUGGCCUAUGUCAUCUGUCAGUUUUGUGUUUGACUCCUUUAACUCAAUAAUCUUGCCUAUGGCUUGAUCCUCUCUUUGAGGCUUAACAAGAUCAUCAUAACUGAUAGCUGGCAUUUGAAGAUGAGGUUGCGGGGUCGGGGGUUCCGGGGAACACAUGUUAAGUGCUGCAACCCAGGCCACAUCCUUCUGUUCUGCUGUCUGACUCACAUCCCAUUUAGCACGUACUGCCUUGUUCGAGAGCUCGUCUGUACAAGCCACCUCAUAUUUUCCUAUGUACAAGGGGAGGCGAGACAGUGUGUCUGCAUCCACAUUUGAUUUUCCAGGCCUGAACCUAAUGUCGAACCGGAAACCUGAGAGUUCUCCAACCCACAGAUGACCAACAGCGUUGAGUUUUGCUGUACUCAUGAUGUAGGUCAGGGGGUUGUUGUACGUGUACACAGUGAAAUGGGGAGUGUAGUACAGGUAGUCCCGGAACUUUUCACACACAGGCCAUUUCAAUGCGAGAAAUACCAGUUUUCCACUGUGCAGGUGAUAGUUAAGUUCAGUCGGUAUCAAAGUCCUCGAGCCAUAGCCAAAUUCUCUCACCUUUCUAUUCUGGCGCUUAUAGAAGACAGCCCCCAGGCCCUGGUCUGAUGCUUCUGUAUACAGCGUGAAAGAUAGGUUGAAAUAAGGAUGUGCUAAGACAGGUAGGGCUAUAACAAGAGUGACCAGUUGCAAGGCUUCCUGAUGUUGAGGGGUCUAGGCAACAGGGUCUCGAGAAGGCAGCUGUGGAUGUUUGGUAGUUUUUGCCACGUGUUGGAAUCUGGGCUUUCCCCGACUUAGUUUGGAGAAGCUCAUAGAUUGGCUUUGAGAUCCGGGAUGUAUGAGCAAUUAUCCCAGGUGGCCGCUCAGUUUCCUUACCUCACCAAUUGUCUGUGGUGUCUUGCUUGUCAAGGUUUUGACUGUUUCAAGGUCCCGUGGGUCUAUCUUGAUACCAUCAGAGGACACAAGGCAUCCCACGUACCUGACUUCUUGUCUGAAGAGCUCACACUUCUCAGGUCUCAGUUUUAUUCCGUGCUGUUGAAGAGCCUGGAGCCCUUUGCGGGGGGCCUCAACAUGUUCAUUGAAUUUUCUUGCAUAACAGAGCACGUCAUCCAGAUAUAGGAUGCAGCAUUCAUCCGUGAGUGUGCCUAGCACAUCCUCCAUGCUCCGCUGGAAUGCUGCUGGGGCAUUUGAGAGUCCGAAUGGGAUACGGACCAGAUGAAGCCCUGAUGGAAGCCCAGCUACAUGGGGUAUUCUUGGAUUUUGUACCUCCAACAGACCUUCAACCACAUCCAGUUCUGUCAACUGCACAUUGUUGUCAUCCGGCUAAAUAGGAAGACUGCGUCAGAUGUACUCAUGUGGGGAGGGACUUAGCACUUAACCUGACCUGCUGGGAUAACAUGUCAUGUCUGCCUGUCCAUAGGCGCCCGCUCUGCACAGAGGGUUUGCUUCUUGGAUGAAGCUCACCAUUAGCCUUCUCUGCUGGUACUCACAAGGCAUUACAGGGUAGGACGGCAAGGGUUGAAAUCAGCUUUUCAAUUUGUUCUUAUAUCAUCUCUUCCAGCACGUUGAAACCCAGCAGUGGUCUCUCCAGAGCAAGACUGCUGACAAGAAAAGGCACAGUGAUCAACAGAUUUGGGUCCUAAUUCCCCAUCAAAUUGACUGUAAGGGCAACCCAGCCAUCAAACGGAAGGACGUCACCGUUCACUGCAUACACAGUUAACUCGUCUUUGUCACCAAUAAUGUCACUGAGUGGCCUAAGAGGAGUGUCAGGUUACAAUGAGUGAGAGCUCUCCUUCCAAUGAGUUUGGCUAGGCGUUCCACUUUUGCUGCAAGGUUGGUCGGUACGAAAAGUGUCAGGUUGGGACGAUCGCUGAGACCCGGUCACUAUUUGUCCCUCGGCAGUGACCGGUUCCAGUUUCCCUGAUGUGUUGGUCUCUUUAGACACCCCACUGCCCGGUGGCCUUCUUCACCACAGUGGAAACAGACACUGUGCAGCUGUAACCGGUCCUUCCUGACCGCUGUCACGACUGACAACUCUGCGUUGUGUGUUAUAAAGAAGACUGGACAACCAAUAGCUCUGGAGAUCUCAAUGAGGUUAAUUUGCCAUGUGGUCUGCAAUCAGAAAUCAAAUGUCACCAUCAGGCAUGACAAAAACCUUGUUCACCUCCUCUCCCAAACGCUCAAAGCAUGAACUGAACUAUUAUCAAAUUUUAAACAAAUAUAUAACACAGAUGGUCACCAAAUCCAUCAUAUAUUACAUCACUGCAAUAAAUCCAACAAUAAAAUAAACAAAAUAUAAAGGAGAUGAAUAAAGUACAUUAAAGAAGAGACAUACCUGCAAAUUAUCAAAAUUCAAAUGUCACCAUCAGGCAUGACACAAACCUUGUUCACCUCCUACACAAUAUAAAAUACAUUAAGUCAACUACCAGCUGGGUCAAAAGCUAUGGUGCAGAAUGCCAGAUACAUCUGUUUGUCUGUACUGGAAUGUGUCUUGAACUUCCUAUUUUUAAAAAGAUCUGUACUUUUGUUAUUCAUGGAUAGAGAGCUUUUUUAUUGCAUAUGAUGUGUGCACGCUGUACUUUGAUGAACACCUAAAUGCAUACUGCAUUGAUGAGUGUAGUAACAACUUUUAUUUUAUAUAUAUGGAUCAACUUACAUAUUGUAAGCCCUUCGAUAAAAUGUUUUAUUAUGGGGAUGACAGAGAAUUCUUGGCGCCUUACUAUUACAUUUAAAAAAAUGUUGACUGAAAAUGGUGCUAUUUCUCCAUUUUGUAAAUUGUUUACUGACAUGUUUCUACAUUCUGAAAACUGUUGGCUGAAAUUAGCACAAUUAAUUUACUUUUUCCCAAAGUAAAGUAUUAUUGUCUUUGUUUACCACAUUUACACUUAAUGAAACACCACAGGAGGUAACAAAUUACACCGAGGUGAGCCUAUUUUUAACAACCUAA